rnacentral:rRNA from 1 species
UACGUAGGGGGCAAGCGUUGUCCGGAUUUAUUGGGCGUAAAGCGCUCGUAGGCGGCUAUGUUAGUCGGGUGUGAAAACUCGUGGCUUAACCACGAGCCCGCAUUCGAUACUGCAUGGCUAGAGUCCGGUAGGGGGGUCUGGAACUCCUGGUGUAGCGGUGGAAUGCGCAGAUAUCAGGAAGAACACCGGUGGCGAAGGCAGGUUACUGGCAGUUACUGACGCUGAGGAGCGAAAGCAUGGGGAGCGAACAGGAUUAGAAACCCCUGUAGUCC